GCGGAUAUGGUGGAAUUGGCAGACACGCAAGAUUUAGGUUCUUGUCUCGCAAGGGGUGCAGGUUCAAGUCCUGUUAUCCGCA
rnacentral:tRNA from 1 species